rnacentral:lncRNA from 1 species
GUUCUAUUAUAUAUUCAAUUUUUUUUUUCAUUUUUAAUCGAUGUGAGACUGAACUACUCACUCUUGAAUUCUAACAAUUAUUUAUUUCAAUUAUAUUUUUUUUUUGUAAAAUAAGUUAUUUUUGUAAAUAACAUUGUUGUGAAAACGAUGCCAAGAAAAUAGAGUAUGAUCAGUUUUUUGAUCAACAAGAAAACCACAAAGCAAAGGAAAAGCACUACUACAAAUAAAAUAUUUUAUGACGAAGCUUUCAUCUCGAACA